rnacentral:lncRNA from 1 species
CUUUGUUGUGGCUAUUUGUGACUAGGCUAAUCUCAACUAUGAUGGUAUGUGACCAAAUCGCAAUUGAUCACAAUUAACAUUGAAUUGGACACAACCGGUAACAACUUGGUUACAGAGGGUCACCACGAAUAAAUUCGUAAACACCGCAAACCAACAUUACAAUAGAUACAAUCACAACUGGUUACAAUGAACACAGAUUUAGUCACAACCGGUCACAAUUAAUACAUACUUGGUUGCAACUGAUCAACACAAAUAAAUCUGCACGUCGCAUAUCAGCACAACAACCCAUCAUCACCGCAUCUCGGAACAGCAAGCCAAUCGAUAGAUUGAACAACGAACUCCCACCACCACCUCCUUCAACGUAACACCAUCGCUAACAUCGGUAUUGUACCACCAUCACCACUACCUGCAAGCAUCACCAACACAUGCACCACAAUCCACCACCACCCCCUCUAAUAAUCACCAAGAAAGUCAUCCUUUCAUUAUGAAGAAUUAUAGAGAGAGAAUAUACAAUACUCGUUGGACAUAAAAUCAUCCUUUCACAAUUUUUAUUCACUUUGUAAUCUCCACAAGGUAGAUCACACCACCUAGAUCACAUAGCGCUAACACCGCUUGCACCACCGCACUGCCACCACCACCUACACUAACAACACCACACAUAGUCGAACCGCCCAAAUCACACAAUGCCAUCACAACCUAAUAUCAUGCUUGAUAAUGUUGUUCCAUGGAGAUAAACGCCUUGAGGAGGCAAGUUGGCCGGUGGGAGGUCAAUAUGAUGGUGGGGCCUAUUGGUUGGGGUGGCAACCAAGGUCACUACCAAUCUGACCAUUUUUGGGUAGGGAGUUGCAGUGGCGUGAAGUCAGCAGGAUAAUGGGCCAAUUGGGGGAGCAACUUCACCGUCGAUUAAGGCCGUGGGUUGUGGUUGGGAUAUGUGAUCAGUGGUUCUUCCCUGACUUGCUUUUCUCUCACAGCAGCAGCUGCAAUUCAUUUGCUUGCAAUUAGUGUUGGGAAAACACCUCCCAAAGAUAGCCCAAUGAUCAAACAAAGUUGACAAUGUGAAAAUUUCCAAAACACUUGAAGAACAAGAAAAUGAGGAAGAAAUGAUUUCAA